CUCUUUUAAAAUGGCUUUCCAGGGCUCGCUUCAAAUUGGAGCAAUAUAGAGAUUACAUGGCCCCUGCUCCAGGAUGACACACAGGUUCCUGAAGUGUUCCGCAUUAUA